rnacentral:rRNA from 1 species
GUGCCAGCAGCCGCGGUAAUACGUAGGGUGCGAGCGUUGUCCGGAAUUACUGGGCGUAAAGGGCUCGUAGGUGGUUUGUCGCGUCGUCUGUGAAAUUCCGGGGCUUAACUCCGGGCGUGCAGGCGAUACGGGCAUAACUUGAGUACUGUAGGGGUAACUGGAAUUCCUGGUGUAGCGGUGAAAUGCGCAGAUAUCAGGAGGAACACCGAUGGCGAAGGCAGGUUACUGGGCAGUUACUGACGCUGAGGAGCGAAAGCAUGGGUAGCGAACAGGAUUAGAUACCCUGGUAGUCCAUGCCGUAAACGGUGGGCGCUAGGUGUGAGGGUCUUUUCACGACUUUCGUGCCGUAGCUAACGCAUUAAGCGCCCCGCCUGGGGAGUACGGCCGCAAGGCUAAAACUCAAAGGAAUUGACGGGGGCCCGCACAAGCGGCGGAGCAUGUGGAUUAAUUCGAUGCAAAGCGAAGAACCUUACCUGGGCUUGACAUACACCAGAUCGCCGUAGAGAUACGGUUUCCCUUUGUGGUUGGUGUACAGGUGGUGCAUGGUUGUCGUCAGCUCGUGUCGUGAGAUGUUGGGUUAAGUCCCGCAACGAGCGCAACCCUUGUCUUAUGUUGCCAGCAAUUCGGUUGGGGACUCGUGAGAGACUGCCGGGGUUAACUCGGAGGAAGGUGGGGAUGACGUCAAAUCAUCAUGCCCCUUAUGUCCAGGGCUUCACACAUGCUACAAUGGUCGGUACAACGCGUUUGCGAGCCUGUGAGGGUGAGCUAAUCGCUGAAAGCCGGUCGUAGUUCGGAUUGGGGUCUGCAACUCGACCCCAUGAAGUCGGAGUCGCUAGUAAUCGCAGAUCAGCAACGCUGCGGUGAAUACGUUCCCGGGCCUUGUACACACCGCCCGUCACGUUAUGAAAGUUGGUAACACCCGAAGCCAGUGGCCUGUUAAAGGGAGCUGUCGAAGGUGGGAUCGGCGAUUGGGACGAAGUCGUAACAAGGUA